rnacentral:rRNA from 1 species
GUGGGGAAUCUUGCGCAAUGGGCGAAAGCCUGACGCAGCAACGCCGCGUGGGGGAUGAAGGCUCUCGGGUUGUAAACCCCUUUCAGGAGGGACGAAAAUGACGGUACCUCCAGAAGAAGCCCCGGCCAACUACGUGCCAGCAGCCGCGGUAACACGUAGGGGGCGAGCGUUGUCCGGAUUUAUUGGGCGUAAAGAGCUCGUAGGCGGUUUGGCAAGUCGGGUGUGAAAUUUCGAGGCUCAACCUCGAAACGCCACUCGAUACUGCCAUGACUGGAGUCCGGUAGAGGAGUGCGGAAUUCCUGGUGUAGCGGUGAAAUGCGCAGAUAUCAGGAGGAACACCAACGGCGAAGGCAGCACUCUGGGCCGGUACUGACGCUGAGGAGCGAAAGCGUGGGGAGCAAACAGGAUUAGAAACCCGAGUAGUCC